UACAGAGGGUGCGAACGUUGUUCGGAAUUACUGGGCAUAAAGAGCACGUAGGCGGCACCGCAAGUGUGGGGUGAAAUCCCACGGCUUACCCGUGGAACUGCCUGGCAGACUGCGGUGCUAGAGGUUGGUAGGGGAGAGCGGAACUCUUGGUGGAGCGGUGAAAUGCGUAGAUAUCAAGUGGAACACCAGUGGCGAAGGCGAGUCCCUGGACAACUCCUGACACUGAGGCACGAAAGCUAGGGGAGCAAACAGG
rnacentral:rRNA from 1 species